rnacentral:rRNA from 1 species
CUGGCGGCGUGCCUAAUACAUGCCAGUCGAACGCACAAUAAGGAGCUUGCUCCUUAGAGUGAGUGGCGAACGGGUGAGUAAUACAUAAAUAAUCUGCCUUAAUGACUGGGAUAACUUUGGGAAACUAAAGCUAAUACCGGAUGGGAUAUUCAAUGGUAGCAUAGAAUAUGAAAAGGGAGGGCUAGUACCUUCGCAUUAAGAUGAGUUUAUGGUGCAUUAGCUAGUUGGUGGGGUAAGGGCCUACCAAGGCGAUGAUGCAUAGCCGACCUGAGAGGGUGACCGGCCACACUGGGACUGAGACACGGCCCAGACUCCUACGGGAGGCAGCAGUAGGGAAUUUUCGGCAAUGGGGGCAACCCUGACCGAGCGACGCCGCGUGAGUGAAGAAGGCCUUCGGGUUGUAAAGCUCUGUUAUCAGGGAAGAAUGAUCUUACUAGGAAAUGAGUAGGAUGUGACGGUACCUGAUCAGAAAGUCACGGCUAACUACGUGCCAGCAGCCGCGGUAAUACGUAGGUGACGAGCGUUAUCCGGAAUGAUUGGGCGUAAAGGGUGCGUAGGCGGCUAUUUAAGUUUAAGGUUAAAGUUCAGAGCUCAACUCUGUGAUGCCUUAGAAACUGGGUAGCUAGAGUGCAGGAGAGGUUAGUGGAAUUCCAUGUGUAGCGGUAAAAUGCGUAGAGAUAUGGAGGAACACCAGUGGCGAAGGCGGCUAACUGGCCUGUAACUGACGCUGAGGCACGAAAGCGUGGGGAGCAAAUAGGAUUAGAUACCCUAGUAGUCCACGCCGUAAACGAUGAAUACUAAGUGUUGGAGUAACAUUCAGUGCUGCAGU